rnacentral:rRNA from 1 species
UACAGGGGGUGCAAACGUUGCUCGGAAUCAUUGGGCGUAAAGCGCACGUAGGCGGAUUCUUAAGUCAGGGGUGAAAUCCUGGAGCUCAACUCCAGAACUGCCUUUGAUACUGGGAGUCUCGAGUCCGGGAGAGGUGAGUGGAACUGCGAGUGUAGAGGUGAAAUUCGUAGAUAUUCGCAAGAACACCAGUGGCGAAGGCGGCUCACUGGCCCGGUACUGACGCUGAGGAGCGAAAGCGUGGGGAGCGAACAGG